rnacentral:rRNA from 1 species
ACACGUAAACAACCUGCCUUCAGGAUGGGGACAACAGACGGAAACGACUGCUAAUACCGAACAAGUUCCAAGAGCCGCAUGGCCCAUGGAAGAAAAGGUGGCCUCUACCUGUAAGCUAUCGCCUGAAGAGGGGUUUGCGUCUGAUUAGCUGGUUGGAGGGGUAACGGCCCACCAAGGCGACGAUCAGUAGCCGGUCUGAGAGGAUGAACGGCCACAUUGGGACUGAGACACGGCCCAGACUCCUACGGGAGGCAGCAUG